rnacentral:rRNA from 1 species
GGCGGGCCUAACACAUGCAAGUCGAGCGCAUGAAUGGAUCUUGCUCCAUGAUUCGAGCGGAGGACGGAUGAGUAAUGCCUAGGAAUCUGCCUGGUAGUGGAACCACGACGUUUCGAAAGGAACGCUCAUACCGCAUACGUCCUACGACCAGAAAGUGGCGUAUCUUCGGACCUCCCGCUAUCGAAUGAGCCUACGUCGGAUUACCUGGAUGGUGAUGUAAAGGCUCACCUAGGUGACGAUCCGAAGCUGCUCUGAGAGGAUGAUCAGUCACCCUGCAGCUGAGACGCGCGCCAGACUCCUACGUGAGGCAGCAGUGGGAAAUAUUGGACAAUGGGCGAAAGCCUGAUCUCCCCAUGGCGCGUGUGUGAAAAAGGUCUUCGGAUUGUGAAGCACUUUAGGUUGCGAGGAAGGGCAGUAUGUUAAUACCUUGCUGUUUUGACGUUACCGACAGAAUAAGCCCCGGCUAACUUCUUGCCAACAGCCGCGGCAAUACACAGGGUGCAAGCCUUAAUCAGAAUUACUGGGCGAAAAGUGCGCGUAAUUGGUGUCGUUAAAAUUGGCAUGUGAAGGCCCCGCUUUCAACCUGUGGAACU